rfam:Salmo salar isolate Sally breed double haploid chromosome ssa27, whole genome shotgun sequence.
ACACUUCCAAUUUGUACGUCGCCCUGGAUAAGAGCGUCUGCUAAAUGACGUAAA